UUGAAACAAUAGGUACUUGAAUGACCAGUCAGCUGAAGUAAGGAUGAGUAUGCAAGGAGGACAUGUUGGUCAGCCUUUUCGUGAGAUUUUCAAUUAAGCAGAAUUCAGAAUGCAAACACCAUGGUGCGGUCUAGCUAUUUCAUAUUUGCUUACCCAAAAGAUGGCAUUCAUAGAAUCAGAUUGAGCAAAAACAUUCAACAGAUAAUUGAAGUGCUUUGCGAAAAGAGCUAGAGGUAUUUACUGACAUCCUAAUAGAGGGUUCAUGUUAAUUUCGGCCGAUGUAAUUCUGUUCAGGCUGAAUUAAUUGUGGGCUAAGAAUAAGAUCCAAUUAAAGUUUCAGAGAUUAAAUAAUGCGCUUCCGGAGAUUAAAUACCUUAUGGACAGAGAGAUUUGGGAUGCUUCUUGGCCUAGAGACCAUUAGAGGAGGCUUUUUAGAACGUUGAGAGUGAUAUUAGCAAAAUAAAAAAAAUAUGAGCCAAAAAUACAUAAAUGGGCUUUAAUUGAAUUGCGCUGUAAAAGACUCGGAAUAAGGAUAAGUGAACUAUCAGUAUUGCCGGCCUAGCCGAAUUUAUGAAAGCCCACAAAUGGGGAAUUAAUUAGUUAUGAUGUAAUUAAGGAUAAUUACCUCUUAAGUUGUUUAUUUUGUUUAGGAUAAUUAAGAGAUAAUAUAAUAGUGUUGUGCUUAGAGAAGAACUUUGAAAAAGGAAUCUCUAUAAGAAGUAGAGAUCAAUUAAACAAAGGGGAUUGAUUAUUUUCUCUCUGCGAAUUCUCUACAGUUCAUCUUCUAUAUCAUUUAAUUAGUUUUACAUUAUUUUUUCAAAGAUCAAAGAAGAUUUUUAGGACGUGGAGAGUGAGGAUCAAUCUUCUUCAUCCCUUGAAGAAUUUCUGAAUUUCGAGAGAACUUUAAUUUUCUGUUUUAUAUUUCUUAUGUA